GGAUAAGGCCAGUACACUAUCUAAAAGAGACUGGACAACCAGUGAGAAGAGCAGCAUGGCCUUUGCUCAAGGAUGACAUGCAAAUUGGUGAAGUGUUCCAUAUAUUU
ensembl:snRNA U6 U6 spliceosomal RNA